AGACGUUGGAAAUUUAUUUUCAGUGUCGCAGGGAAACCGAUAAACACACCGCCUGGGGAGUACGACCGCAAGGUUAAAACUCAAAUGAAUUGACGGGGACCCGCACAAGUAGUGGAGCAUGUGGUUUAAUUCGAAGAUACGCGCAGAACCUUACCAACACUUGACAUGUUCGUCGCGACUCUAAGAGAUUAGAGUUUUCGGUUCGGCCGGACGAAACACAGGUGCUGCAUGGCUGUCGUCAGCUCGUGUCGUGAGAUGUUGGGUUAAGUCCCGCAACGAGCGCAACCCUCACUUUUAGUUGCCAUCAUUAAGUUGGGCACUCUGAAAGAACUGCCAGUGAUAAGCUGGAGGAAGGUGGGGAUGACGUCAAGUCCUCAUGGCCCUUACGUGUUGGGCUACACACGUGCUACAAUGGCAUCUACAACAGGAAGCGAAACGGCAACGUUUAGCAAAUCCCGAAAAGAUGCCUCAGUUCGGAUUGCACUCUGCAACUCGAGUGCAUGAAGCUGGAAUUACUAGUAAUCGUGGAUCAGCGUGCCACGGUGAAUGCGUUCCCGGGUCUUGUACACACCGCCCGUCACACCAUGGGAGUUGGUUCUACCUUAAGGCAAGGUUUCAAACCCUUGACCACGGUAUAGUCAGCGACUGGGGUG
rnacentral:rRNA from 1 species